UACGUAGGGUCCGAGCGUUGUCCGGAAUCACUGGGCGUAAAGCGCACGUAGGCGGCCUUCUAAGUCGAACGUGAAAUCCCCGGGCUCAACCCGGGAACUGCGUCCGAUACUGGAAGGCUUGAAUCCGGAAGAGGCGAGUGGAAUUCCCGGUGUAGCGGUGAAAUGCGCAGAUAUCAGGAGGAACACCGGUGGCGAAGGCGGGUCUCUGGGCCGAUACUGACGCUGAGGAGCGAAAGCGUGGGGAGCGAACAGG
rnacentral:rRNA from 1 species